rnacentral:tRNA from 1 species
GAGGUUAGUAGCUUAAACAAAGCGCUUUGUUGAAAACGAAGAAGAUGGUCUUUAUGCCCAGUCUCA